rnacentral:snRNA from 1 species
GUGCUCACUUCGGCAGCAUAUAUAGUAAAAUUGGAAUGAUACAGAGAAGAUUAGCAUGGCCCCUGUGCAAGAUGACAUGCAAAUUCAUAAAGUGUUCCAUUAAGAA